rnacentral:rRNA from 1 species
CCCGCACAAGCGGUGGAGCAUGUGUUAAUUCGAAGCAACGCGAAGAACCUUACCAGGUCUUGACAUCCCAAUGCUAUUUCUAGAGAUAGAAAGUUACUUCGGUACAUCGGUGACAGGUGGUGCAUGGUUGUCGUCAGCUCGUGUCGUGAGAUGUUGGGUUAAGUCCCGCAACGAGCGCAACCCCUAUUGUUAGUUGCCAUCAUUCAGUUGGGCACUCUAGCGAGACUGCCGGUAAUAAACCGGAGGAAGGUGGGGAUGACGUCAAAUCAUCAUGCCCCUUAUGACCUGGGCUACACACGUGCUACAAUGGUUGGUACAACGAGUUGCGAGUCGGUGACGGCGAGCUAAUCUCUUAAAGCCAAUCUCAGUUCGGAUUGUAGGCUGCAACUCGCCUACAUGAAGUCGGAAUCGCUAGUAAUCGCGGAUCAGCACGCCGCGGUGAAUACGUUCCCGGGCCUU